rnacentral:rRNA from 1 species
CCUACGGGGGGCUGCAGUGGGGAAUAUUGGACAAUGGGGGGAACCCUGAUCCAGCCAUGCCGCGUGUGUGAAGAAGGCCCUCGGGUUGUAAAGCACUUUCAGUGAGGAAGAACGCCUGGUGGUUAAUACCCAUCAGGAAAGACAUCACUCACAGAAGAAGCACCGGCUAACUCCGUGCCAGCAGCCGCGGUAAUACGGAGGGUGCGAGCGUUAAUCGGAAUUACUGGGCGUAAAGCGCGCGUAGGUGGCUUGAUAAGCCGGUUGUGAAAGCCCCGGGCUCAACCUGGGAACGGCAUCCGGAACUGUCAAGCUAGAGUGCAGGAGAGGAAGGUAGAAUUCCCGGUGUAGCAGUGAAAUGCGUAGAGAUCGGGAGGAAUACCAGUGGCGAAGGCGGCCUUCUGGACUGACACUGACACUGAGGUGCGAAAGCGUGGGUAGCAAACAGGAUUAGAUACCCCGGUAGUC